rnacentral:rRNA from 4 species
CUUCCGUAGGUGAACCUGCGGAAGG